rnacentral:rRNA from 1 species
AUUGAACGCUGGCGGCAUGCCUUACACAUGCAUGUCGAACGGUAACAGGUCUUCGGAUGCUGACGAGUGGCGAACGGGUGAGUAAUACAUCGGAACGUGCCUAGUAGUGGGGGAUUACUACUCGAAAGAGUGGCUAAUAACGCAUGAGCUUUACGGUUGAAAGCAGGGGAUCGCAAGACCUUGUGCUACUAGAGCGGCCGAUGGCAGAUUAGGUAGUUGGUGGGAUAAAAGCUUACCAAGCCGACGAUCUGUAGCUUGUCUAAGAGGACAAUCAGCCACAGUGGGACUGAAACACGGCCAAGACUCCUACGGGAGGCAGCAGUGCGGAAGUUUGGACAAUGAGCGCAAGGCUGAUCCAGCAAUGCAGCGUGUAGGAUGAAGGCCUUGAGGUUGUAAACUGCUUUUGUACGGAACGAAAAGCCCUGGGUUAAUACCCUGGGGUCAUGACGGUACCGUAAGAAUAAGCACCGGCUAACUACGCGCCAGCCGCCGCAGUAA